rnacentral:piRNA from 1 species
CUGUUUCUGGCACUGAUUGAGGCCC